rnacentral:rRNA from 1 species
GAUGAACGCUGGCGGCGUGCCUAAUACAUGCAAGUCGAGCGAGCAGAUGAGGAGCUUGCUCCUCUGACGUUAGCGGCGGACGGGUGAGUAACACGUGGAUAACCUACCUAUAAGACUGGGAUAACUUCGGGAAACCGGAGCUAAUACCGGAUAAUAUAUUGAACCGCAUGGUUCAAUAGUGAAAGACGGUUUUGCUGUCACUUAUAGAUGGAUCCGCGCCGCAUUAGCUAGUUGGUAAGGUAACGGCUUACCAAGGCAACGAUGCGUAGCCGACCUGAGAGGGUGAUCGGCCACACUGGAACUGAGACACGGUCCAGACUCCUACGGGAGGCAGCAGUAGGGAAUCUUCCGCAAUGGGCGAAAGCCUGACGGGGCAACGCCGCGUGAGUGAUGAAGGUCUUCGGAUCGUAAAACUCUGUUAUUGGGGAAGAACAAAUGUGUAAGUAACUAUGCACGUCUUGACGGUACCUAAUCAGAAAGCCACGGCUAACUACGUG